rnacentral:rRNA from 1 species
UACGUAGGGCGCAAGCGUUGUCCGGAAUUAUUGGGCGUAAAGAGCUCGUAGGCGGUUUGUCGCGUCUGCCGUGAAAGCCCGGGGCUUAACUCCGGGUCUGCGGUGGAUACGGGCAGACUAGAGGCAGGUAGAGGAGAACGGAAUUCCCGGUGUAGCGGUGAAAUGCGCAGAUAUCGGGAGGAACACCGGUGGCGAAGGCGGCUCACUGGACCACAACUGACGCUGAGGCGCGAAAGCUAGGGGAGCAAACAGG